AUUGAACGCUGGCGGCAGGCCUAACACAUGCAAGUCGAGCGGAUGAAGGGAGCUUGCUCCUGGAUUCAGCGGCGGACGGGUGAGUAAUGCCUAGGAAUCUGCCUGGUAGUGGGGGAUAACGUCCGGAAACGGGCGCUAAUACCGCAUACGUCCUGAGGGAGAAAGUGGGUGAUCUUCGGACCUCACGCUCUCAGAUGAGCCUAGGUCGGAUUAGCUAGUUGGUGGGGUAAAGGCCUACCAAGGCGACGAUCCGUAACUGGUCUGAGAGGAUGAUCAGUCACACUGGAACUGAGACACGGUCCAGACUCCUACGGGAGGCAGCAGUGGGGAAUAUUGGACAAUGGGCGAAAGCCUGAUCCAGCCAUGCCGCGUGUGUGAAGAAGGUCUUCGGAUUGUAAAGCACUUUAAGUUGGGAGGAAGGGCAGUAAGUUAAUACCUUGCUGUUUUGACGGUACCAACAGAAUAAGCACCGGCUAACUUCGUG
rnacentral:rRNA from 1 species